rnacentral:rRNA from 1 species
CCUACGGGAGGCAGCAGUGAGGAAUAUUGGUCAAUGGGCGCAACCCUGAACCAGCCAAGUAGCGUGCAGGAUGACGGCCCUACGGGUUGUAAACUGCUUUUAUGCGGGAAUAACGCGCCUUACGUGUAGGGCUUUUCAUGUACCGUAUGAAUAAGGACCGGCUAAUUCCGUGCCAGCAGCCGCGGUAAUACGGAAGGUCCGGGCGUUAUCCGGAUUUAUUGGGUUUAAGGGGGGCGUAGGCCGCAUUGCAAGGGUGCUGUGAAAUGUCCGGGCUCAACCCGGGCCCUGCAGGGCGAACUGGCGUGCUUGAGUGCGCGGAAGGCAGGCGGAAUUCGUGGUGUAGCGGUGAAAUGCUUAGAUAUGACGAAGAACCCCGAUUGCGAAGGCAGCUUGCUGUAGCGGUACUGACGCUGAUGCUCGAAAGCGCGGGUAUCGAACAGGAUUAGAUACCCCAGUAGUC